UACGUAGGGUGCGAGCGUUGUCCGGAAUUAUUGGGCGUAAAGGGCUCGUAGGCGGUUUGUCACGUCGGGAGUGAAAACUCGGGGCUUAACUCCGAGCCUGCUUCCGAUACGGGCUGACUAGAGGUAUGCAGGGGAGAACGGAAUUCCUGGUGUAGCGGUGAAAUGCGCAGAUAUCAGGAGGAACACCGGUGGCGAAGGCGGUUCUCUGGGCAUGUCCUGACGCUGAGGAGCGAAAGUGUGGGGAGCGAACAGG
rnacentral:rRNA from 1 species